UUUUACCUAGGGACGCAGCAGUAGGGAAUCUUCCACAAUGGACGAAAGUCUGAUGGAGCAACGCCGCGUGAGUGAAGAAGGGUUUCGGCUCGUAAAGCUCUGUUGGUAGUGAAGAAAGAUAGAGGUAGUAACUUGCCUUUAUUUGACGGUAAUUACUUAGAAAGUCACGGCUAACUACGUGCCAGCAGCCGCGGUAAUACGUAGGGGGCAAGCGUUGUCCGGAUUUAUUGGGCGUAAA
rnacentral:rRNA from 1 species